rnacentral:lncRNA from 1 species
CUUCGCAAACCAUAUCUUAAUGACAAUGACACAUUUAUUCAAAACAAAACAAUUGGCCUAUCUUCAUACUUUUUUCCCUAUUCAUAUCAACUAUUAAUCCACAAAAAGAAAGGUACGGGCAAAAAUGAAAAUCUUAGAUAUUAGUAACCAUGUGCUCACCAAGGGAAAUGGGAAUAGAAGGGAUACUGAAGAAAUAAGGAAAUAAGAACAGAAAAGCUAAGGGAGAAUGUGCCUUUGCCAACGUUCCGGAUAGACUACUUUCAUCAGGAUACUAAUAAGAAAUCCAUUUCCAGAAUUCCUUAGAUGACUACUUUCCAUUUCUACGACACAAUUAUUUUGAGCAAAAAAAAAAAAAAAAACCAUCAUGCAUAUCUAAUUAUCUAUAACUACUCGGCUGUACAUAGCUGUACCAUGAGCCUGAUACCAAAUUUUUGCACAUUUCUCAUACUAUAUCCUUUAUAGUUUACAAAGGAGGAAUAUGCACCUUGUUCUACAACACUUGGGGUCCAGGAUCCAAGAAACAGACUCAAUAGAUACACAUAUUUGCUGGAGUUUCAGCUUACAGUAUUAACACAUUUAUGUAAUCCCCCCUCCCUUUUCUUUUCCUUUUUCCUUUUUCCUUUUUUUUUCUCUCAUUCAUUCAUUCAUUUUUUUUCUGUAAAGUACAUUUAUGUCAUUCACUAGGAAAGCACCUACAGUUUACUGACCUCAACUCCCACAGGCUUUGAUACUGUUAUCUGCUUAUAUCAUUACUUGGGCAUUACCAUGGAUCUCAUUUUCUUUGUAGUCAAAGCUUCAACUGAGAAUUGAAAACAAGUUGGCCGGUUUACCUAUGAGAAUUGAACGGGUCAUAAUCACACUAAAAGGGAAAAAACAAGAUUAUGCAUAUAGAAAACAAGAAUCAAACGAAAAUGAGAAAAUGGUGAAAUAUGGCCGUACCACAAGAACCAGAGCAGUUGUGCCAUUGCCACCGUCACUGCCGUUGCCUCGCACAAAUCACAAUAAUCAGUACAUUCAGCAGAAUUUUUUUAAGAAAGUUGUAAUUGGACUUCUGUAAAAAUAAGAUAAUUGGUUUACAACAUGUUGCAGUGGCUGAAAUUAGAAAGGAGUGAAGUCACUCACAAACCACUUAAGC